UUGAUGGGGCACCUGCGAUAUUCCGUUUUUCGCCUCCGCUUGCUCGUUUCACCCCUUAAUAGACGAAGAAGACUUAUUCAUAUUCGAGGAGAAGCUUUUCACUCCCGUGAAAAGCUUCCAUGUUGACGUACCUCCUACCUGAGCUGCACCAACUACUAGAGAGGGCAAGGGAGAUCAAUGUUGCCGUAGCUACUAGUCCGAGCUACUAUACUAACCCGAAAGCUGGUCCGACUACAGCGGCGGAAGUUGGCUUCCAAGACGGGGGGACGGGCUUAUUUGUCUCCUGACGGGUGCAAUAAGAAGUCGAGGUCUUAACCAGAAAGGAGGGAUUCCACGGCCUGUAAUGUAGCCGGUUACGGUUGGAGUUUGCGCAAUAAUGGCUGGUGCUUUCCUCGACUUCCGCUUCCGGCUUCCACAUCCGCUUCAGUGCUUGGGCCUUUGUUGCUUUCGGACCGACUUUCAUUGAUGGCAGAUGUUGUAUCAGCUCGGCUUGGAGCUCUUUCUUAAGCAGCUGUUGUUUUAGGUAUUCCCCAUUGGGGCUUAGGGUUAGGGGGGAGGGGCUCGGAGCUAAGUCGUGUAAAUCUACUACCUUGCCGAGUCCUAAAGUGCACUAAUGAGAAUGGAGAGAAGGUCACCUCACCCGGCGCUUCUUUGAUGAUUUCGUUUUCUUUUAUAUAGAAAGUACGAAGUCAGACUCCAAUUGAGUGGAGCACCUCGAUGAUAAAGUGAAGGAGGGGGAAUCUUCUAUUUAGAGACAUGGCACCCAUUGUUUCAACACAAGGCAAUUUUCUUCAUUAAUAAAAGAGGCUUUCUCUAGCGAAAAAUUCAUUCAUUUCAAAUGCGCGUAUAUGAGAAACAAUCCAACUGGAAAUGGGAUGUUCAGAUGUAGGCAAAGGAACCGAACAAGAUCAAUUUCUGUAUUCGAAUUUCAUAAGAGGAUCCGAUUUCAGAGUCGAGGUUAAAGAGUCAAGAUGCAGAGGAACCACCGCCCAAAGGUGCCUUUAAAGGUAAGGCCGGUAGUAGGUGGCUAAUGUUUGACUUUUUUGGACCAAAGGAAAUGAAACUGAGCGUUUCCUAAAUGGAGAUUGGGUUGAUGUUCAGUAUUUAUUACUGUAGUGAAUUCUUUCCUUUUUUUCUACUGUCCCGUUUUGCGCUCGCGAGGGAAGGGUUGGUGAGAAAGACGGAGGUAGGGUGUUACUGGGUAAAGGGGAAACUAGUGACCUGUGACAGUUGGUAUCAGAGCCAGCUUGUGAGAGUAGUUGGCUUGUGAAGCACACAAUGUCGACCUCGGAGAUUGUCAUGGCCGACAGACAUGGCUAACUGUGUGCUGUUUAUUUAUUGAUUGGCUAAAAUGAAUUUGGAAGUCAUGUCCGAAGUCGUUACCUUAACCGCAAGGUCGGGGUUGAGUUGAUAAUUCGGGAGGAGCAUGCGGACCGCUUGCUUCGCCAAGAACAACCAUUGGUUGUAGCAAUUUUGAUCAAUAGGAAGAGGAUAAGUUCGCUAGGAAAUUUGGACAUGCCACGACGAUCCAUAUGGAAGGGAAGUUUUGUUGAUGGAUUCCUGUUGAGAAUGAAGAAGAAGAACAGAGACCAGAUCUAUCAUCACUCUCCCCAAAACAAGGGAUAUUCUUCUUUCAGUUCUGUCUUUCCUUUGCCAACUCGUAGUGAUCUCUUUCUUUAACGCAUUACUGACUUUACAGGGUCUUCCUAUCAUCGUUAUCGCAACGUGCAAUGAUGAUUCCGAUGAACAGGAUCUGCAUAAAAAAUGGAGGGAUUGGCCCCCAUUUGUGAUUAGUCUCCUCCAGCAACUCUGGAGCCUGUUCCUCCUUUGUUGGAAAUCCCCGCAGCUGUGGUCAACCAGGAAGACCUCUGGAGGGAAUUGGAGCAGCAGGAGGAGGCUGCUCCAGCUCAUCCGCGUCCCGAUGCGGAUCUGGAUCCCCAUCCCGAGCUUCCUGGUAAAAAAAUGUAGUUUAUUCACAGGCAGCGACAAUCCUACUCCGAAACAGUUUAGGCGAUCUAUAAUCGCCUCAUCUUAUAUCAUAGGGAUGUGAGUACUCUUCCUGAGCCCGAACGACUGUUGAAGGAGGCUCAACAAAUCUAUCAGAUCAAGGGGGAAAUCCUCCAUAAACAGGAAGAUCUGGAUAGAGGAGGAGGUUGGCUUUGGAAUGGAGCCCAGUUCCUAAGGCAUAACACUGGGGCCGAUUUUAGUAAAGAAACGCUCCGUAAGAUCCUUCAGGAUCUGGAAAAGGAGGGUGCAAAUAGCACCUACUUUCAUUCCUUCCACAAAGCUAAAAGAAGGGAUUGGGAAACCAUAUUAUUUCAGCCGCGGCGGUAGGGGAGAAGGAAGGCGUAGGGCUCACACAAGUAAGUGCAGGACCCCCUACGGGCCUUUCUGAAGUGUGGCACAGCCAGGGAGGUAGGGGGGAGUGUGAAGCCUAGAGAGGCGGAAGCGGCAAAUCGCUUCUAACGAGUUCCCCAACACUUAGCUUAGUAGCUUAACUCUUUAUACUGGCGUGGCGCUGCUGGAUGCUUCUGAUCAAUAGGAAUAGGAGGAAAAAGAAAAGCUUAUGAUGAGCAUCUAUUGGAGUCGAUCAUUUCCAAGAUCUAAUUCCAGUUUCUUAUUAUGUAGUGGAAACGCCUCACAAUCUUCAGUUUUACGCUUACGCUUAAGGGAAGAAAUGUUCUUGGUGGAUGCAGGACCUGGUACCCCCAAAAUUUGUAUGCAAGAUGAGCCUACAGGAGUGCCAAUCAACCGAGCCACCAGGUUUGAGAAUAAGGUGGGAUCCCUGAAUGUAGUGGCUGGUGAAUCACUGAUCAAAAAGCGGAUUUUUGAGAGAUUCUUCAUCGAUCUAGUGGCCGGUGAAUCACUGAUCAAAGAGCGAGCAGCCGCCAGGUUUAAUGAUUUUGUUGGAUCCCUGGAUGUAGCGGCUGGUGAACCGCUUCUUCUUCCACGAAGAUUCAGACAAAACCGAGCUUGGAUGGAACUGAAGAAGAUUUGGCGAACGAAGAAAAAGGUCAAAGGGUUUAUUAUUGACAAAGUCAAAGGAGGUUAUUCAGUAGCCAUCGCAGGUUUCAUUACUUUUCUUCCAUUCUGUCCUCUCAUAACUCAAAGGAUAGCGAAUGAUCGAUUCACCAUUGAGAGCAUUAACCCAAAAAGGAGGAAUAUUGUGGUGUUAUAACAGCGGCAGAUCAAACAAGAACGUCGAUGAGAAAAAAAAAAGAAAGAGAAAAUUUUUCCAAAUCCGAAGCCCACCUUAAUCCAUUCUUUUUUUGAGGGUCUUGCACUUAUUCCGGCCCUCUAUUUACAUAGCGAAGAAAGGCUCUUGCUCGAAUGCGUGACUGCGGAGCGCCUAUCGCUCUGGCACGGCACUCUAAAAUGCAUGUUGGGUUGGGCCAGCAAGAAGACUGCGACUAGGGAGACGAAGAAUGGAAUUGAAGAAGGCAUAGUCUAACAUAACAGAAUGGAACACCAACCAACGAGUGAGUGGCGGAUUUGGAUGGAGUCUCGCAGAAGAAGAGUACGCGCGCUAGCGCGCCCCAAGACGUAAGUACUUUUUCCGCUUGCUGGCCAAGGAAGAGAGAAACCUUCAUCCCUUCCAACACCAACCCAAUCUCCAUUCCUUGAUGGGAAAUGAGCAAGACCAUAUUUUGAUAUAAAAUAUAGCCCCCUAUAUCAACCUGCCCCUUACUACCCGAACUUCUUACCUUCAAAUAGGACUAACUACCCGAACCCGCUUGCUUAUCUUAUACGAUCUAAUUAAGUUAAGCAGUGGUUAUUUAACGAAUAUGAAUUUUGUGAAACGAACUUCUAUCGACUACUAUUCUAGCACCCAGCUGUGCCAUGUCUUUAUUCUUUGAUUCAGGUAUUCCUUUGAUCAACUCUUCUUUUCAGGUCAGACAAUUUUUCAGAUCUUCUUAGUCAGCCUAUCUGUGUUCUUAUCCUAUAGUGCGGAUCCAAUCUUCUUUUCAGAAGCCAAGGCCUGACAUCUAUUGUGGGGAUCAUCUUUUAUCGGGAGACAUGGCCUGGUGGUUUCUGGUCGAGACUCCUAAUCAAUAGGGCGAAGAGCUCUUCGCAUGAUCUGGUCGUACGUUUCGUCAACGCUCUUCUAUUUUUUUUGUCCCUUCUCAGCUGCAGUCCUUACUAUUAAAACAUGAUGUAUGAUGUGUUAGCGUGAAAAGCGGCCAAGACGAGUAGAAAGCGCAAGGCUGACCGAAACGAAACUUCUCGAACCAGGCUCUUGGAAGGAAUAAAGGUGUUAGGGAGAAAAAACCUGUCCUAAGAAAAAAUAUAACUCCAACUGUAUACUUAACUUAAUAGGGUGAGGUAAGAUUUUAGAUUCAAAAGUGAGACUAAAGUUGGGGUAUAGGCAGUGAAUCAAUCAUUAUGCAGUCUUUACUCCAGAAAAAACAAACUAACGAUUGAUUCCGACGAUCUUCAGUCAGGAAUGACUUGGAAAGGGCAGUAGAAGCUAAGCUAAGCGAAAGAUUAUCACGUUCACUCAGUCGGUCAAUCAUUCGAUUGAAAUUUCAUCCAAGUUUGUUUACGACAGACUCCAUACCAAGGAUGGUUGUCUUCUCCUUCUUAUUCGUUCAGUCAAUGGGUCAGUCAUGGAAGGGUACUUAUGAGUGUUCUAAGUGCUUGAUCGAUCGCGAUGGAAUCUAGGUCACUAAGGUCGCACUAUCCGCCUGCUCCUGAGUUGGCUGAAAGGAAUUCGUUCUUUCAGUCCGUACGAGUGUUCUAGGGAGGCCAUUGAUCGCUCGCGAGUGCAUCUACGUCUUGAUCCGUCAUGCUUCCAUUCAUCCAUCAAUCUGUCAGUCCUUCGCGGAAGAGUGUAACCAAGUCCGCUUAGUAAUCUACUCUAUCGAUCAAUCUUCUUCUAAGGAAAGACCCGAAUCGAACACUCGUACCAUCCCCGCUUAAGUCCGUUUUCAUUACCUUAGUCAACUUCGGAUUAGGUACCGUCCCUAUCCGUGGUACAGAUAUUCUACUUAUGUAAAGUAGAAUUGUGCCUGAAUGGGCACAAGGAGAUGGGGCUCACCAUCUCUCCGGACGCCAUAUGUUCGAAUUGUAGAGAGUGUGGACCCUGUAGAGGCAUAGGCCAUUAUUUUUAAGGUUUGGUAUCUGCACCCGAGCUGGAGGAGAUUUGAUGCCGAAAGACCACUUGUAAAGCACAUAGCGCUCUCCUCUUGGGCACCCAGAAAAAAAUGAAAAUGGAAAGAAGGCGAGUAACCAUCCGUUCAUCCAUUUUUCUUUUCAAUUCGACGAACUGCCCUCCAGGCAGCAGACAGACUGAAGGCAAUGGGGAUUUAGCCAUUGGCAGGCUAGAUCACAUGAUCCUGAUGGCACCUUCGGCAACAAAAAAAAAGAAAUUGGCAUUUUCCAUGAUGCCAGCAGAGAGAUAAAAUGAAUGAAGGAAAAAAGUGUUGGGAUGAUCUAUGGGAAGCCAAGAGGCACCCAUAUUCUCCGAUGAGCGCAAAGAUAAGAGCCCAAUGAAAGGCAAGGUGCCUUGUCUGAUUCCAACGAAAAUAUAUGUUAAUAGUUGGACUAUGAAAAAACCAUAAAUCACUAAGUAAUAAGCUUCUUCUAUAAGAGCAAGGGAAAGUGAUAAGGAUCAAUAAGCUCCGGAGAGUGAGGAGGAGCAAAGCGAUGAAGAGGCAGAAGGUGAAGAGGAGGAGAAAGUGAUGACCCCACUAAACGAGUAGAGGAAAGGUCCCUGAGCCUCUCUGAACUGAUGUGACCAAGCCUCCGGUGCCACAGAUGCCACAGCCUAUUAGCUGUCUGUAUCUCAGAUGAAGAAGGUGCUAGGACGAAUGCAGCCCUCAUCACAUCAGGGGUGGGGACGGAGCAGAAGUCUAGAUAGAACAGCCGCCCUACGGCCUUUCCCAAUCCGCUUCCCUAUCACUAGAUCCUGAACAAACCCCCCUAAAAAAACACAAUGCAUUUAUUUUGACAAGUUUACCAACAGAUAGUUGGUUCAUCGAAAGUUGAGGAACAAAGAAAAAAAUGAAAAUGAAAAAAAGAAAUUUCGCCUUCCUCUUCCAGUUUAGCUAGACUCCUUGUUGUAGCAUAAAUUUCUUAUAAGCUUGUUGAGAAGUCUAAAGAAAGUCUUUCUACUGUACCAGAACGUCGAGUGAAUGUGAUCGUGAUCUCUACCACUAGACAUACAUACGUAGCGCUUUAGUGUAGCUAGUACAAGUGCAUACCAUGAUUCAUUCUUUUUUUACAUAACGGCUUGCAUUGCAUGAUAGAAGAAGCACUGUGCAAAGAAGAAGACUCGGGCUUGAUAAGUCUUUUUACUAAACUUGUUAUCGACGUCAGAACUGACUCGGCUACUUCUCGGCCGGAACUGGCACCCUGCUUGACUGCUAAGGAGGAGAGCUUGGUAUUUCACUCUUUUUCGAAGAGGAGUCAGAUAUUUUCGAUGGAGCAAUACCCCUUUUGGCUUUUUCAACCAUUUACCAGACAAGGAUCUUCUUUAUAGCCAAUAUAGAUAAGAUAGGGAUUGGGGGCUCUUGAACUGCUUAUCAGCCCGAAGCAACACUACUCUUUUCCCUUGGGCCUGAUCCGACAACUAUGAAAGGCAAUGCAGUAGUUUUCUGAAUCUUAUCUUCUAUCAUUUGCUUUAUCCAACAUGUCUGCUACAAUUCCGUUCCAGUCACUUUUUCCACGGAUGCAAUUCUUCAGCAGCUGAUUCUGCAGAUGCAAUAGUGGCUUCUGCGGCUGGAAACAUAGCUGCUUCAGCUUCAGAGGUUGCGAUAUCUAUCUAUAACAAGGAUCAUCGAGCAAAUGUCUCUGCAACUAAACUGUAAAAUCAUAAAGAGGAGAUAGAGAUAUUAAGCGCAUUCAGUUUAAGAAGCUCAAUACAAAGAUAAGUGCAGUGCUCUAACUAUCUUUCUUCUAAAGAAAAUUUAUCAAAUCUCCACUCCAAUCUCCAAUCAGCAAGACAAGGGGGAUAGCUCUGUAUAUAGAUAUAAGGGGGGACGACAUAGAUGCAUGAACACAUACUUCACAGGCAAUAAUGCAUUUAUCGAAUGAAAAGUGGAUUCAUUCGACCAUGGGCAUUCUCUUUUGUUCUCAAUUAUUCAAAAAACUAUAUUGAAUAGUAAAAGAAAAACGAUUAGCAUGUGAUAAGCAAAAGGCAAUCAUCAAACGUCGGACUGGGACUGGACCAAUGUGUACCUUGCUGCAGCUAGCUCGUACUCUGCGUUUACCAUCCAAUCUAUCAUAGUCAGCUCAUCCUAGGUAAGUCAAGUCCAUCUCUUUUAGGUUGUCAUAGACAGAUGAAUAGUGAAAAGGAAGCUUUAGCUAACAUAUGAACGUCGAUGAAAAUAUAAAGAAUUUGAUUCCAAGGACCACCACCUCUUAAACAAGCAAUUGGCUUUCUCUUCUUCCAACAACAAGCUAUGAGGCGGGCAAAAUUCGUCUAAUUCGAAUGCCCUAAUCUUCAUUCAUCUUCUUCCAUAGAGUUAGAGUAGCAUAGGUUAGUGUGCACGGAAAGAGAAAAUCAGACUCUGUUGGCUUUGCUAGGCCAGUUAUCUGAAGUCGACGCCUUGGACUUAGAAUGAAACUGUGACCCAUCUUUGAUUGAAAGCCUGGCUCCUUCACAGUCCGCAGCAGAUAGAAGAAGGGUAGGUCUGUGAUUCAUACCAUAUGGCUUGCUAUUUCAUUCGGUUGGCUUAGCUUUCAUCCACCUUUGUUUUUUAAGAAAAGUUUUUACACCAUCUUCUUCGUCUUCUUUGGAAGCUAACUAAGAAGAAAAGAUAAUCAGUCCCUUGUGCUCUGAUUCAUUCUUUUAUGUAUGUGGCUUCUUUCUGAUCUAGUCUAGGAGCACAAAGUCUGUCAAAGAAGGGUUAAGGUCUGUCUCUGGCCGGUAUUUCACCUAAAAAAAGAGAAAGUUCUUCUUUUUUUCUUAUUUAUACUUUUUUUUUGUCUAUGUCCAGCAUUGACUGUUCUGGCACCUCAUCAAUUAUCAAAUGAAGGGUUCGUUCUAUUUUAUUUGGUACCCAAUUCGUAGCUGAAUCGGACACAACCCAUUUUCUGGUCUUUUCUUUCGCUUUCGAACGAAUCCAUGAAGUAGGACAUAGAUUUAUCACACUCAAGAAGAUUCUGUUGAGUAUGAUAGACUCUCCAACACAGCAUUGGCUCGUGUUUAAACGGAGUGCUCUACCUAACUGAACUAUAGCUAUAGAGAUCUUAACAUAUAGAGUCGAGAAUUUCUUUUAAAUAAGGAUAUUCCAUGUUCCCAAGCCCAAACCAAGAGUCUGAAUUUGAUCAACAUAUUCAGUCUAGUAGAAGGAAGGGAGAUACGUUCCGCCCGUUUUCUUCUACUCUAGCAUCUACGGUUGGGGGUUGGUAGGGGCCAGGCCAGGUUUUGUUUCUACUUACCGCCCCGUCCCCGCUUGGAUGGAGGGAGUGGAGAAGGCCUGCUCGCUGAGCUCGGCAGGAAGGAAACAGGGCAAGACAAAGCUCGCUUCUACCCCUCCGUCUAACCUAUUGGCAGCCUACUCCGGUCGGAGCUCUACCUACAAGAACGAGAGGCGAGUAGAGGAAGGAAGUCACUCGCUCUAUAGUAAGUAUAAAUAAGGAGAGGAACGAGAGCUGCUUUUUUUUCCCUUGCUUGACCCGCUUACUUUGAACUAAUUAAACAUGACCUUUCCUGGGGAGUCUCGCUCUGAAAAAGAAGGUUCCAAUGAAUCCGAGGAAAACAGCACAUUAUGGCCAUGACCAGCUAAAGAUCACUGCCAUCUCACGAAUUGGAUUCGAAGCAAUAAAGCGACUUUCCUUUUAGUAGAUCGUGAGUGGGUCUAUCGUCCUCCUCAUUAUAGUUCUCCUAUCUAAAAAUCACGUCCAAUGGCAUUCAUGCUAUGUUGUUUGUUAUUUCGUGGUGGUCGAGUUCUCUAACCGUCUUUCUCAACUAAGUAGAUUAGACCCCCCUCGUCUACUGAGAACAUUCCAUUGACACAGGGAAUCGGAAAGCCACCCUUCACUACACAUGUGACUUUUGCCGCGAGGCGGAGUUCUCUUAGUAUCGCCUCGAUCCUUUCAAAAGAAAAGGAAGCGAGGAAUGAACCGAACCUGGGGAAUGUUUUACUCCACGUGCUGACCGAUCACUCUCUGAUUUUGAUGAACCAUACGCUAAUUGACCUUGAAAGAAAGCACCUGCUUCCAUCACAAGAACGGGACAGACUAUCGGCGCGGGCGACCAUCUCUUCUUUUGAUAUGCUUAUAACGGAUACGGAUGCAAUGAUCCUCUUUCUCGUCGUCGUUUGGGUGUCCCUUAAUGGGCGCCUUUCUGGAGAGCAUUCCGUUUCACUCUAGAUCUGGUUCUGAGGAAGAGAUCUCAUCUGCUAUAUCGGGCUUCCUGCUUCCUGAGUUCUCUCAUGACUCAUCAGCAUCAGAGGCUGCCCCGCCUACCUUGCCAUCAGCCGUCUCAGAUGCCACAGAUCCCUCUGCCGAUGCCGCCAGACCAUCAGCUCCGUUGCAGACGUACUCCCGCGGGGACCCGAGCAUUCUACAUGUUCCUGCGAUAGAACAGUUCGCCCAGUCGUCUGCCUCUCCCAGUCAGCCUGCACCUGUUGCGGAUUCUGCUCCGCCGGUUCGUCGUUCCUCUCGUCUUUCCGUUCCUCCUUCUCGUUUUCUUUCCGUUUACUCUUUUUCUCCAGGUCAUAGGGCCUUUUAGUUUGGCCUCGGUUCACUCGUUCCAUGAACCCCCUACCUGAAAAGGGCCUACCGAGAGGCUGCAUCGCUUCCUUGCUGGCACCAAGAAAAAGGGCUUCAAAGCUCCUUUUUUAAACCCGAUUAAUCUAUAAAAAAAGCCUGCGUAGUAAACUCCUUGUUUUCUUUCUGAUAGCUGCCGAGUUUUCAAGUCAAGCGAGAAAGCAAGUGGAUCAGAAAAAGUCUUUCUGGUUGUCUCACAAAAGAGUACAGCGUGGCGGUAUACCUCUUUCUUUGUAAAAGGUUUUAAGGAUAUGGUUAAGCGAGCCAGUUGGCUCAACACAGCUUUAUACGUGAAAUGCUGUAGUGUGUCGCUUAUGCGCGCCUAUGGCGGAUGUUGGGAUCGACACGAAUCCUUACCGCAUCCGAUAUCCCUAGCAAGGCUCGAGAGACCUCGAGUGAUACCGAACUUCCAUAGAAGACUAAUUCGUCGUCAUGACGUUCGGGCGGACAGAUUAGUCAAAAUGUAUCUAUCCAUGUUCUCAGUGUCUAAGCUGAUUCUUGUUCCUAAACAGAGCAACUAUCAGUUUAGUAGCAUUGUGGACGACCCGUCGACAGACGUCGAGAGUGUUUUGGAGAAGUACGGUAUCCUAGUGAAGGACCUUUUCUUAAGGUAUGUGCAAGAACUUCCUUCCAUCCCUAUGGAGGUGGGCCUGAAUUGGCGUCCUUUCUGGUCUUCAUCUCCGGUGAAAGGUGAUAAGGCCCUAGUGGGCCGGACUCCCUUCCAUCGGAUGAUUUGGGAGCUGUUUGCGAUCGCUUUAUGGGAUCGCGCGGUUCUCAAGGGGUUGAACCCCAAGGAUCCGGAUAGGGCGGCGAAACGGGCUUGGCCGUUUGAAGGUUGGUUCCUUUACUGGAGCUCUAUCUUUAUACUGCCCCUGUUCAGCUCAUUCUUUCUGCCUAAGACCGUCUAUCCUUGCGAGGUCGCAAGUGAUGAGGAUCGGUCUCUGCGUGUCCUCCCUGUGAAGGUUGUAGAGUGACCUUCGGAUUCAAUUAAUAAUGAACGGCAAAGUCAUUUCAAAAGCAGUUGGUGCUGCUAGUUCAGAUGGUGCAGCUAGCGCUAGAGUUAGGAAGGCAAGAAGGCAAGGAGUUAGUUCACAGCGUCGAAGUCUGAAAGCAGAAGGCGCAGAAGGAUAUUAACGACUAGUUCUGAAGGCCAGGAAGACCGGAAAGCCUACUUCGCUCAUCAAGUCAAGCUGAAAAACGUGAUAGACGUGCGUACUCGCGCGAUAUGGCUUUUCAGCACGGGGGCAAGCUUAAGAAGAGAGUAGGGGCGCGCUAGCUGCGAAGAAAACGCUUACACAAUAUAGAUAUAGGGGCGCGCUAGCCCCCUACUAGUAAAGACUUUUCCCUUUACUAUUAAAUUUAGGUUUUUGGAAUUGAUUUUGAUCAACCGAGUACCGAGCAAAAAUGACUUGCUUUACUAACAGCAGCACCUGCCGUGGGCUUUACUGACUAACGAGUUCUCUGUCGCUAUCCGUCUAGAAGAUUGUGAAAACGGUUUUUUUCCUGGUUUAAUAGGGAGACGGUUGAAUAAUGUUGCUUAUGCCUUGAGCGGCUGAGUUAGCUGCAUUAAAGCUGGACGAGCAGGCCGGCACUUGUGCCGCACGGACCGCGUUGAGACCGCUAAGUCCGUGACAGCUAGCAAGCAAGCAGGCAAGCAAGAAAUAAAAGCUAGGAAAACGUACUAAAGCGCGCUCUAACGCACAAAGGCGAAAAUGGUGGCUCUACAGACCUAUUAUACUAGGGGAGACGGCAUUGCGACUUAACCGCCACUCGCCAAGCUCCUUAUGGUGGUGCUGUGAGAGUGAAUUCCCAGUCUUCCGGACCAACUUCCAACAGCCGCGAGCCACCGCUUUCUCCCUCUUCGUUCUCCUUUCUUUCACGGGGCGUUAUGCGUGAUUUGGUUGGUGGUCAGUAUCUCUGCUGGGUACCGGAGUGCGAUCCCAUAGCCAAGGGGCCUAGUGACGAUCUAAUCGCAUUUUCCGUCGCCCUAAGUGUUCAGUUCCAACGCUACGAUCGUCCGCGCGCACCGGUUGCACGCGUUAGCUACAUAGAGGUGUGUAGCAGAAGAAUCGCCAUGUGAAGCUUACGAGCUUGUGAUGGGCCGAGCCUAAGGCGUCCCUUCCUACCUGUGUGCGUUGGACAGCGCAUAUUUUCCGGGUCUCUUUCCGAACUUGGUACUAGCUUUCUUCUCUGUCUUACCUUGUUCUUGAGUUUCCAAGGCUCUUUCCCAUCGAAGUCCUUGUUGGGCAGGUGCUAUUCGGGCAGAUUCAACUUCGAGCUAGGCUUUGCUGACUUGAAAGUCCAGGUGGAAGUAGUCAGAAUUGCUGACAAGCGGAGCUCUACUGAACCUACUUUAUAAAUGCAAUCGCCGGAUGAUUUCCCAUCUCCUGAAAAAUAUCCUAAGUGAGGUGGACUUUAUCCAUACCGUACUGGCAGGUACGAUGAGGUUUCUUAAGAAUACCAAUUCUUUCGGACCGAAGCGCGCUCAAUGGCUUUUUGGGGCUUUUCGCGAUGCCGAGAUAACUAACUACCCCUCCUCCCAAUGGGAAUAGGGGUUACGUCAUGUACGAAACUUUCUUUAUAGUAUACCACUUCUAACUUGACUACUUAAUAGUAUACCACUUCUGGCUCGUCAUGCUGCAUCUCUUCCGAGACCAGGACCUUUUAUCACGACUUUCGCCUCUUUCGUACCCUGCUUCCACUACUGUACGAAUAGCAUUUCCUUCUACACGAAUAGCAUUUCCUGCUACGGUUUGAGCAGCAAACGGGGUGUCCCAAAUCUCUUUUUCUCUUUUGCCUUUGAAUUCAAAAGUACCUGCGUAGGACCAAGAAACCCCCGGCAAGAGUAGGCCAAAGAAGCAAAGGAAUGAGCGCCUCGCCUUUACUCUAAUAAGGGCGUUAGCGCAUCCGUUUUCUUUCGUAUCGCUAGGCGCUCACGUUUUUUGUCUGGGUGAGGAUUGUUUUUUUGGCUUGCAACUUGAUUAGAGAAGGGCCGAUUUGACUGAAGCUUUCGAGAGCCUCCCUACAGAUCUUUUGCAUGCAACUUUCCUUCCUCCAGCAGUUCCUUAUGAUUCGGACAGCAGUUCCUUAUGAUUCGGAAUAGAGACUCCUUCAUCCCAUACCCCUAUAAUAAUGGUAGAGUAAGGGCUCAGGGUACCUUCCAUGAAUGGGACGGAGAAAUCGAUCGAUACCGCCUUACCUGAUAGGGGGAAAAGCGCCGGCCGAGCGGCGCAACGAUCAGUGUCAAUCAGCGGAAAAGGACCCUAAUCGAUUCGGGGUCGGUUGCUGUUGCCAAUAAGAGAGAUCCGUCGUUGCUGCCGGUCUUUCCACCAAUGAGCACUUGCUUGAGACCCCUUCACGCUGCAACCAAAGACCGCGCUUCGCUUGGUAAGAACCGAGACCCUUCGGCAGUCAACCUAUGGUUACCUUACGAUAGCUCAGGUUGGUUAGUCAAGUAAAUGGCGGCUACAGGAAGACAUACUUAAUGAAGCGGUGAAGCGGUCCAGCACUAACUAAAGGAUAGCCAUGGCCGGCUAGCGAGCCACUAAGAGAUUGGUUCUGCUUGGGAAGGGUCUACCCCAAAAAGAGUGUGUUUCUUCGGCCCUUCAUUAUUAUUAGUAAGAUGGGGCGUAUCUUAGCUCCUCCGCAUGCUACUUACGAUGCCCUCUCUCGGCUGGGCCAGGAGCAGACACUAUACCUCACAAGCGAGUCAAGAGAAAAGUCGAGGAAGAUGUGGAGUAGGAAUGCAAGUCGAGUCAUCAAGUCAAUUACACUCGCUCCCGUAUCUCUCGCAGAUCUCACGGAUAGAAUCAAACAAGAUCAAUCGUGUAUUUCUCAGUGGUCUUAGAGGCGAGGUUUUGUACGUGCAGGGAAUGGAAGUGCUUACUGACCUAGUAGGCAAGAGGGUUGGUUCAGCAAUGCGGAUCAAGUGUAGCGCAUUCCGAAAGUCAAGAAGCAAAUCAAGGUUAGAAAAUCGAGCAGGGCGGGAAAGGUGAGCAAGUGCAAGUUCGAUAUGCAAGAUACGAGAUGCGCAAGUCAAGUCAGCGAGCGAGAUACAAUAAGGACCAACCUCGCCAUCCGGGUUGAGAGAGAGAAAUUGAACAAGUAUGGUCCUCCCCUAUGGGGAUGUACUAUGAAACAAAAAUGGGGAUUAUCCGCAAAGAACUACGGUAGAGCGGUUUAUGAAUGUCUACGCGGUGGACUUGAUUUUACCAAGGAUGAUGAAAACGUGAACUCACAACCAUUUAUGCGUUGGAGAGACCUUUUCUUAUUUUCUGCCAACGCAAUUUAUAAAGCGCAGGCCGAAACGGGUAAAAUCAAAGGACAUUACUUGAAUGCUACUGCGGGUACAUGUGAAGAAAUGAUAAAAAGGGCCGUAUUUGCCAGAGAAUUGGGAGUUCCUAUCGUAAUGCAUGACUACAACACUGGGGGAUUCACUGCAAAUACUAGCUUGGCUCAUUAUUGCCGCGAUAACGGCCUACUUCUUCACAUCCAUCGCGCAAUGCAUGCAGUUAUUUAUAGACAGAAAGAUCAUGGUAUGCAUUUUCGUGUACUAGCUAAAGCAUUACGUAUGUCUGGUGGAGAUCAUAUUCACGCAGGUACAGUAGUGGGUAAACUGGAAGGGGAACGUGAGAUGACUUUGGGUUUUGUUGAUUUAUUACGUGAUGAUUUUAUUGAAAAAGACCGAAGUCGCGGUAUCUUUUUUACUCAAGAUUGGGUCUCUAUGCCAGGUGUUUUGCCCGUGGCUUCAGGGGGUAUUCAUGUUUGGCAUAUGCCUGCCCUGACCGAAAGAUUUUGGGAUGAUUCCGUACUACAGUUUGGCGGAGGAACUUUAGGACACCCUUGGGGAAAUGCACCCGGUGCAGUAGCUAAUCGGGUGGCUUUAGAAGCGUGUAUACAAGCUCGUAAUGAGGGACGUGAUCUUGCUCGUGAAGGUAAUGAAAUUAUCCGUGAAGCUAGCAAAUGGAGCCCUGAACUAGCCGCUUCAUCCCCGAAACCCGGUUCCCAGCUGAUAGAUGGUGAAUGAAGCCUCCUUGGCCCCUAAUCCCCCUUCGUAAAAUAUAUAACCAUAAACAGGGCCUGAAUUACUUGUUUGUGUUCGAUCAGUUCUAUUUGAAGACUUUGUUUCUAGACCUGCUUCGAUUCAAAUCAAUUCUUCGAGCCUGCCACGGGCUUUCCAAUUUUCUUAGUCUGAUGGAACGAACCUUGACUGAAACUGAAUUAUCAACCCUAUCUUUUUGGCUUAUUUAUAGUCUGACCCGCUUUGAAUGAGACCUUCGAAUAGGAUUGAUUGGGGUAUAUGAGCUGGGAAAGAAAGUAGACCAGAAAGAUAG
rnacentral:lncRNA from 1 species